rnacentral:rRNA from 1 species
GAUGGACGCUGGCGGCGUGCCUAAUACAUGCAAGUCGAGCGAACAGAUGAGGAGCUUGCUCCUCUGACGUUAGCGGCGGACGGGUGAGUAACACGUGGAUAACCUACCUAUAAGACUGGGAUAACUUCGGGAAACCGGAGCUAAUACCGGAUAAUAUAUUGAACCGCAUGGUUCAAUAGUGAAAGACGGUUUUGCUGUCACUUAUAGAUGGAUCCGCGCCGCAUUAGCUAGUUGGUAAGGUAACGGCUUACCAAGGCAACGAUGCGUAGCCGACCUGAGAGGGUGAUCGGCCACGCUGGAACUGAGACACGGUCCAGACUCCUACGGGAGGCAGCAGUAGGGAAUCUUCCGCAAUGGGCGAAAGCCUGACGGAGCAACGCCGCGUGAGUGAUGAAGGUCUUCGGAUCGUAAAACUCUGUUAUUAGGGAAGAACAAAUGUGUAAGUAACUAUGCACGUCUUGACGGUACCUAAUCAGAAAGCCACGGCUAACUACGUG